AAGUUAUUUGUGCAAUUCAAUUUAAUUUGAUAAUUAAAAUCUUACAUUUAUUUAUUAUUGAUUUUAUGAGAAGUAU
rnacentral:tRNA from 1 species